rnacentral:rRNA from 1 species
AUUGAACGCUGGCGGCAGGCUUAACACAUGCAAGUCGAGCGGGGUGAUGGUGCUUGCACUAUCACUUAGCGGCGGACGGGUGAGUAAUGCUUAGGAAUCUGCCUAUUAGUGGGGGACAACAUCUCGAAAGGGAUGCUAAUACCGCAUACGUCCUACGGGAGAAAGCAGGGGAUCACUUGUGACCUUGCGCUAAUAGAUGAGCCUAAGUCGGAUUAGCUAGUUGGUGUGGUAAAGGCCUACCAAGGCGACGAUCUGUAGCGGGUCUGAGAGGAUGAUCCGCCACACGUGGACUGAGACACGGCCCAGAAUCCUACGGGAGGCAGCAGUGGGGAAUAUUGGACAAUGGGGGGAACCCUGAUCCAGCCAUGCCGCGUGUGUGAAGAAGGCCUUAUGGUUGUAAAGCACUUUAAGCGAGGAGGAGGCUCUUUUGGUUAAUACCCAAGAUGAGUGGACGUUACUCGCAGAAUAAGCACCGGCUAACUCUGUGCCAGCCGCCGCAGUAA